GACGGGGCCCGGCACAAGCGGUGGAGCAUGUGGUUUAAUUCGACGCAACGCGAAGAACCUUACCUGGGCUUGACAUCCCGAUCGCACCUUAUGGAAACAUAGGGGUCAGUUCGGCUGGAUCGGUGACAGGUGCUGCAUGGCUGUCGUCAGCUCGUGUCGUGAGAUGUUGGGUUAAGUCCCGCAACGAGCGCAACCCUUGUCCUUAGUUGCCAGCAUUCAGUUGGGCACUCUAAGGAGACUGCCGGUGUCAAACCGGAGGAAGGUGGGGAUGACGUCAAGUCCUCAUGGCCCUUAUGUCCAGGGCUACACACGUGCUACAAUGGCCGGUACAAAGGGGCGCAAGACCGCGAGGUGGAGCAAAUCCCAAAAAACCGGUCUCAGUUCGGAUUGGAGUCUGCAACUCGACUCCAUGAAGUUGGAAUCGCUAGUAAUCGCGUAUCAGCAUGACGCGGUGAAUACGUUCCCGGGCCUU
rnacentral:rRNA from 1 species